ACCACAUGGACUGAAGGCCCAACACAUAUACAACCCAACCCUAGGCUUAUUCCUAAUAAAACAAGCCUAUUUUGGUUAUUAAUCUGCAUCAAACUGUAUCGGUUCAUACACUGUGAUACAAUGCAAUACACUACUUAUAUGGUGUGAUACACUGCGAUAAAUAUCAAUACAUGGGAUAUGUCUCUUAAAAGGCCCACAUGCCUCAUUUUAUCGACUUGGAAAAAAAAAAAGGAAGGCAAAAACCAGCUUUUGGCCCAAAACAAGACUCCAAACCUCCCUUCUUCCCUUUUUUUCCCCCUAGAUUCACUUGGGGCUUUUAAUAUAGAGUGAAAAACCUAACUUUUGAUCAUUGUACAAGUUUAAAUCGAAGAGUGGAAGUUUUGGACACGGUCAUGCAUAACCACAACUCCGGUACUUUACUAGCAUUAGCCACUCCAGACCAGUACAGGAGACUCUACUAUGAGUGGGAAAGAUGUUACAAUAGAUCUUUCGACUGGGGUCAAUAUUGUGCCUAUGUUUAGCAAGUACACGACAUCAUCCUAGGCGCUUCUAUUCUUAAAUAAAGGGAAUUUUGUAUUGCUGAAUAGAGCACUCACUUUGCAUAGAUUACCUCCUAGCUAUGACUCUGAACCACCCCGACACUGUUCAUGAGAGUAGAGUAUUACAACAUGUAAGAAACAUAUCCUUCAUAACAAUUUCAAUUGAAUGAACUUAUCUCUCGAUACAAUGUUCUCCAUUUUAAUGUCUAUGCAUGAUACAUAUUAUAUAUUGCUUAUUUAUACUGUUUUUUCUUAUGCAAAGGUGUAUUUCUAUUGUAUCUUGACCAUUUCUGUGUGUAUCCCUAGCGUACCUUGCAUAUCUUUGAUACAAUACGUCUUUCAAAAUCACCCAACUGGUACGUUGUGCGAUACCGAUACUUUAAACCUUAGGUAGCAAUAGUAACUGAUUUUAUGAACGUUAUUCUUUUGCUAAAUCAAUGGUGUAUCUUCCAGACAUAGUCUUUGCAAAGGCUUUUGUAGUCUUUGCAAAGGCUUUUGUCUUUGACUUGCUCAAUGCUAAGACAAAGUUUGUUACCAAGGCAGUAGGGUUCUUUAGACAGGCUACCAAUGCUUAGAAUGUUCCUUGAGUUUCUUAGCUCUAAUUAAAGACAUCUUACCUUGUAUAUCCCACUUCUCUUAAUUUUUUUGCUGACCAAAAAGGUCAGAGAAACUUUGCACGAUAUAUAGUGAAUCCUAUUUUCUUCUUUGUUGAAAAACUUCUACUUUCAUGGGUGAAAUUUUUUUUUCCUAGUUAGCCAUUGGAUUUCUAGAACUUCUACUUUGCUCUGUUAUGGUUGAUGGCCACUUUAUAUGGAAGAAAUAGAAUUCUUUUUUUUUUUUCCCCUUGGGUUAGGCAUUAGAUUUUCUGUAACAAGUAGUAACACUAUUGAAUACAUAGAAUACCUCUAGGUCACAUGUCCAAUUAUUGGGCCCUAAUCGUAUGGCGUAGCAUGUAUGACUCUUGUCUUCAAUGGUUCAAAGGGGGUGAUUAUAACCACAGUUUUCAAGGCGUCACCUAGGCAUCCAGACGGUUUUCUUGGGGUCUAGGAGAGACUCGCCUUAGUGCAAGGCACCUUGAAAUGGUAGCGAACCAGGUUUGGCACUUAUUUAUGUCAAAUAUGUUGAAGUAAAUGAUUUCAUAUACUUAAGAUAUUUUGUUCAUAAAGAAGCAAACAUCCCCUAUUGAAUCCAAUAAAAAUAGUUCAAAAAUCAGAUCCCAAAAAGAAAGAAAAGUCAGCCCUACCCAAUUCAAUUAAUUGUAGAGGCAAUUUUCAAUUGUCAAAUGUUGGGGUUUUUUCUUUUUCUUUUUUUUUUUUUUUUAAUAUGAAAAUUCCAUAAAUUAUAUCAUGGUAAAACAAUACUAAAAACUAAAAGUGCAGUAAAAUAAUCUUUUGUUCUGAUGUCCAUAAUUUUACUUUCAUUCAGGAGAAUUUAACGCCAUUCGCACACCUUAUAAUAACUUUGACCGGAACAUAACUUGGUCAAAACAACUUGAAACAUAACUUGGUCAAAAUAACACUUCUACCAAAAAAUUUUUUUUUUUGAUAAUAAUAAUGAUACUCGGGCACCUUGUUGCCCAACCACCUUGGGUUGCGUUGUCUCCUUGACAACUAUGAUUAUAGCCGAAAAUUCGUAAAGUUAUUGUGGAGUAUUUGACAACAGUGCGAUGGGGUUCACCUGUCUUUUUUCUUCUAGUGUCACCAAAGCUGCCUCAUGACAGACCUGAUGUCCAACCUAUGCUUCUGUGAAGCCUGAAGUCUGGCAGCGUUCAACUAAAUGAAAUGUUAAUACCAAGUAACAGAAGAUGCUGCGGAAAUGAAAUUCAUGCUUCAGAAACAUGAGGUGGGAAGAAAGGACAUGCUUGAAAGGGUGUCUUCCGAAUUUCGUCGUGGUGGUUGAACACAUCCCCAGAAGAAACCCCUCCCCUUUUCGACAUUGGAAAGAAAGAAUGUGGAGUAGGUUCCUACUUUUCGAAAGAAGAUAUUCAACAACUUGAAGAUGUUUGCAUUAAAAAGGGGAAUACACCUGCUGUAAGUAGUUAGUCUAAUAUGUAAAGUUAGUAUACAAAUAUUUAUUAUAUUUCUUUGAACUGUAUGUAUGUAUUUAUGUAUGUAUAAAACUGAUGUAGAUUCCAUCAUGAUCGAGAGGAUUUGUGGAAGUAUAUAUCCUCCUUGAUUCUGUUAAUUUAGUUAUAGGAUCUGUUUGUUAAUGUGCUUUUA